rnacentral:lncRNA from 13 species
CUCUUCCACAAAUUUGGCACUGGAUAUCGUAUCUAUCUAAAAUUUCCCUGUGCUUCUAGCUGCAGGUGCUAUCCCUAGUUUUCCUUCUGUGUUGACAGGUUACGGGUGCUGGUGAGCAGCUGCUCCUAUUCAGCCUGGGCUGUGGCUGUUUUCAGUGGUGGUGGGAUGGACAGCACUGCUGUUCAUCAGGGGAGACCCCACUCUGGAAUACAUCUAAAUUCAGAGAACUAACAAUGAAAAUAUUGGCCCCUUGAGCAGGACCAGACUGUUCUCCCUCUUAACUGAGAAAGAAAGAAAACCAGCCGAUUCAAUGUGCCAAGAAAGCCUUCAACAGAAAGUGCAAGCCCUUCAGCAUCUUGAAACAGAGACUUUAGGCAAGAGAAACCACCUCUGUGAAGAAGCAGCCCCUGCAAAAGACUAUAUUCAGCAUCCAUGCUGCUCACAAAUGUUUAAUGAGGCUCCACCACAGAGGAACAUGGAGUUUUUUGAAGAACAAGCUGUCUGCCACGCUGCAAACUCCACCAGACAGGCUUUGGACAAGCAACCAUUGACUGAGAGAAAAACUCCAUCAUUAACAACUGCUGUGUUAUCACUUCUGGAGAGAGUACAAAAAGGUGCCAACACAGACAAACAUAAGGCAGAGAUCACAUCAGAAAUACUGAAGAAAACAGGAAAAUCUUUGGGUGUAUCUACUGGGAAAAAUUCUUCAGGAAAAUCUGGACCACAAACGGACAACAGAAGAUAA